UUGAUCAAGCUACAAAGAGCGCAUCAUGGAUGCCUUGGUGCCAAUAGGCGAUGAAGGACGUGGUAAGCUGCGAUAAGCUACGGUGAGCGGCAAACACGCUUUGACCCGUAGAUUUCCGAAUGGGAUAACCUGAGCAGGGUAAUACUUGCUCGAGUUUCUGUGAAUCCAUAGCAGGAACAUCGCGACACCCGGUGAAGUGAAACAUCUCAGUAACCGGAGGAACAGAAAUCGAAAGAGAUUCCGUCAGUAGUGGCGAGCGAAAGCGGAACAGGCUAAACCUGCCGAUUUAUCGGUAGGGGUUGUAGGAGCCCGAUGUGGUAGUGCAAAGGUUAGGUGAAGCUUCUGGAAAGCUGCGCCAUAGAGGGUGAAAGGCCCGUAACCGAAAGCCCGAGCACGCCUAGGGAUUUCCUGAGUAAUACGAUGCACGUGAAACUUCGUAUGAAUCUGCGCCGACCACGGCGUAAGCCUAAAUACUCAUUGGCGACCGAUAGUGAACAAGUACCGCGAGGGAAAGGUGAAAAGAACCGCUGCGAGCGGAGUGAAAUAGUACCUGAAAUGAUGUGCUUACAAGGUGUCAAAGCCCGCAAGGGUGAUGGCGUGCCUUUUGCUUAAUGAGUCUGCGAGUUACUAUCAGUGGCGAGCCUAAGGCGUUCUGCGCUGGAGGCGAAGCGAAAGCGAGUCCGAAAUGGGCGCUCCAGUCGCUGGUAGUAGACCCGAAGCGGAGGUGAUCUACCCAUGAGCAGGAUGAAAGUUGCUUAACCGCAACUGAAGGUCCGAACCCGUGACGGUUGAAAACGUCUGGCAUGACUUGUGGGUAGGAG
rnacentral:rRNA from 1 species